CGAGUGAACAGGGAAAAGCCCAGCACCGAAGCCUGUGUCCAUUUGGGCAUAAGGCAAUGUGGUGUUCAGGUCGUUCCGCAGAGGCACUACUCCACUCCAAGUCCAGCAUUGAGUACGGUAUGGACAUGGCCCAUAGAGGGUGAAAGGCCCGUGGGGGUGGAGUUCAGGCUGGUUAGUGUCUCUCUGGGUAGACCUUGGAGUCGGGUUGUUUGUGAAUGCAGCCCAAAGUGGGUGGUAAACUCCAUCCAAGGCUAAAUACUUACACGAGUCCGAUAGCGAACAAGUACCGUGAGGGAAAGUUGAAAAGUACUUUGAAGAGAGAGUAAACAGUGCGUGAAACCGCUCAGAGGUAAACGGGUGGAGUUGAACUGCAAUCUUCGAGGAUUCAGCCGGUGAGCAUGGUUUUGGGCUUGGUCAGAUUGGUUGAGUACCGGAGUCUGUGUAGCAACAGGUCCAUGCCUUCGGGUACGGAUGUGCGAUACACUUAUCAAGUGUUGCGCGCUCUGGUGGUAUCGAACCAGCUCGCCGGUGCACUUCUUCGGAGUGUUCACCACGACCGGCACUGCUGCUUGGGUGUCGCGGUUAAACCGUUCUUGUAUUGCUUCCGGGCUUUGCAUGAUCGGGAUGGCAGGUAGCUCGUUAGUGUCCACGUACUCCGUGGUCGCUUUUGGGUGUAACCGCUUUCCGCGAUGGUACUAUGCGGUGUGUCGGAGACGGCGGCUUAUGGUGUGUGCAUGCGUGCCUGAUCGGUCGGCAGUUUCGGGUUUGGUUGCUAUGUUGCUUGUUAAAGCAGGCCUAGUGAUAUCCCGGUUCUGUUGGGUCGGCGGUUGCGUGUGUGGCACUUCCCAGGGCCAAUAGUCUGUGGUGUAGUGGUAGACUAUCCACCUGACCCGUCUUGAAACACGGACCAAGGAGAGUAACAUGUGCGCGAGUCAUUGGGCGUAACGAAACCCAAAGGCGCAGUGAAAGUGAAUGUCUGGCUUGUCUGGACUGAGGUGAGAUCCUGUCGUUUCCCACGCGUGGUACCACCAAGCAUCGAGCGGCAGGCGCAUCACCGGCCCGUCUCAUGGCGUAGUCACAUAGUCUUCGGACCAGUGCAACACCGGGGCGGAGCAUGAGCGCACAUGUUGAGACCCGAAAGAUGGUGAACUAUGCUUGCGCAGGUUGAAGCCAGAGGAAACUCUGGUGGAGGACCGCAGCGAUUCUGACGUGCAAAUCGAUCGUCAAACGUGAGUAUAGGGGCGAAAGACUAAUC
rnacentral:rRNA from 1 species